CCUACGGGAGGCAGCAGUGGGGAAUAUUGCGCAAUGGGCGAAAGCCUGACGCAGCGACGCCGCGUGAGGGAUGAAGGUCUUCGGAUCGUAAACCUCUGUCAGCAGGGAAGAACGGUCACUGUGCUAAUCAGCAGUGAAUUGACGGUACCUGCAAAGGACGCACCGGCUAACUCCGUGCCAGCAGCUGCGGUAAUACGGAGGGUGCGAGCGUUAAUCGGAAUUACUGGGCGUAAAGCGCUCGUAGGCGGUAUGUCAAGUCAAGGGUGAAAUCCCCGCGCUCAACGUGGGAACUGCCUUUGAAACUGGCAGACUGGAGUGUGUGAGAGGAAAGUGGAAUUCGAGGUGUAGGGGUGAAAUCCGUAGAUAUCUGGAGGAACAUCGGUGGCGAAGGCGACUAUCUGGCACAUAACUGACGCUGAGGAGCGAAAGCGUGGGUAGCAAACAGGAUUAAAUACCCUUGUAGUC
rnacentral:rRNA from 1 species